UACGGAGGGGGCAAGCGUUAUUCGGAAUUAUUGGGCGUAAAGGGCUCGUAGGCGGCCAACUAAGUCAGACGUGAAAUCCCUCGGCUUAACCGGGGAACUGCAUCUGAUACUGGAUGGCUUGAGUUCGGGAGAGGGAUGCGGAAUUCCAGGUGUAGCGGUGAAAUGCGUAGAUAUCUGGAGGAACACCCGUGGCGAAGGCGGCUCUCUGGGACGGUACUGACGCUGAGACGCGAAAGCGUGGGGAGCGAACAGG
rnacentral:rRNA from 1 species